GACAGAGGGUGCAAACGUUGUUCGGAAUUACUGGGCGUAAAGCGCGUGUAGGCGGCCCUGCAAGUCGGAUGUGAAAUCCCACGGCUCAACCGUGGAAGUGCAUUCGAAACUGCAGGGCUAGAGUCCUGGAGAGGAAGGUGGAAUGCUUGGUGUAGAGGUGAAAUUCGUAGAUAUCGGGAGGAAUACCAGUGGCGAAGGCGGCGACCUGGGCCAAUACUGACGCUGAGGUGCGAAAGCGUGGGGAGCAAACAGG
rnacentral:rRNA from 1 species